UUACUGGUAAGGGCGUAUGGUGGAUGCCUUGGUAGACAGGACCGAUGAAGGACGUGA
rnacentral:rRNA from 1 species